GAUGAACGCUGGCGGCGUGCCUAAUACAUGCAAGUCGAGCGAACAGACGAGGAGCUUGCUCCUCUGACGUUAGCGGCGGACGGGUGAGUAACACGUGGAUAACCUACCUAUAAGACUGGGAUAACUUCGGGAAACCGGAGCUAAUACCGGAUAAUAUAUUGAACCGCAUGGUUCAAUAGUGAAAGACGGUUUUGCUGUCACUUAUAGAUGGAUCCGCGCCGCAUUAGCUAGUUGGUAAGGUAACGGCUUACCAAGGCAACGAUGCGUAGCCGACCUGAGAGGGUGAUCGGCCACACUGGAACUGAGACACGGGCCAGAAGCCUACGGGAGGCAGCAGUAGGGAAGCUUCCGCAAUGGGCGAAAGCCUGACGGAGCAACGCCGCGUGAGUGAUGAAGGUCUUCGGAUCGUAAAACGCUGUUAUUAGGGAAGAACAAAUGUGUAAGUAACUAUGCACGUCUUGACGGUACCGAAUCAGAAAGCCACGGCUAACUACGU
rnacentral:rRNA from 1 species